CUAGGAUGUUGGCUUAGAAGCAGCCAUCAUUUAAAGAGUGCGUAAUAGCUCACUAGUCGAGUGGCCCUGCGCCGAAAAUGUAACGGGGCUAAACAAGAUGCCGAAGUUGCGAAUAGGACCUUCGGGUCCUAUGGUAGGAGAGCGUUCUAAGUGCUUUGAAGGUAAACCGUGAGGAUUGCUGGAGAGCUUAGAAGUGAGAAUGCCGGUAUGAGUAGCGAGACACAGGUGAGAAUCCUGUGCACCAAAAGACUAAGGUUUCCAGGGGAAGGCUCGUCCGCCCUGGGUUAGUCGGGACCUAAGCUGAGGCCAAACGGCGUAAGCGAUGGAUAGCAGGUAGAGAUUCCUGCACUAGUGAUAGGACACAGAAGGCUAUGAUAAGCGCGCAGUUGGAAAACGCGCGUCCAAGCAACAAGUCUGAGAAGGAGUCAAAUGCUUCUUCUCGCACGGACAAGUUGUGAUGGGGAGGGAAGUUUAGUACCGAAGUAUCAGAUGUCACGCUGUCAAGAAAAGUUCCUAGUUAGAAAAUCACUACCCGUACCGUAAACCGACACAGGUAGUCGAGGAGAGUAUCCUAAGGUGAGCGAGAGAACUUUCGUUAAGGAACUCGGCAAAAUGACCCCGGUGCUGACUUAUGUCAGCCGCAGUGAAUAGGCCCAAACGACUGUUUAUCAAAAACACAGGUCUCUGCUAACUCGAAAGAGGAUGUAUAGGGGCUGACACCUGCCCGGUGCUGGAAGGUUAAGUGGACGUAUUAGCCAAUAGGCGAAGUACUGAAAUGAAGCCCCAGUAAACGGCGGCCGUAACUAUAACGGUCCUAAGGUAGCGAAAUUCCUUGUCGGGUAAGUUCCGACCCGCACGAAAGAUGUAACGAUUUGGGCGCUGUCUCAACGAAAGACUCGGUGAAAUUAUAGUACCUGUGAAGAUGCAGGUUACCCGCGACAGGACGGAAAGACCCCAUGGAGCUUUACUGUAACUUGAUAUUGAAUGUCUACAUGAUUUGUACAGAAUAGGUAGGAGCCAAUGAAACCUGGACGCUAGUCUAGGUGGAGGUGUCACUGGGAUACUACCCUUAUUGUGUGGCCAUUCUAACCCACGACCGUAAACCGGUCGGGAGACAGUGUCUGGUAGGCAGUUUGACUGGGGCGGUCGCCUCCCAAAUUGUAACGGAGGCGCCCAAAGGUUCCCUCAGAAUGGUUGGAAAUCAUUCGUAGAGCGUAAAGGCAGAAGGGAGCUUGACUGCGAGACUUACAAGUCGAGCAGGGACGAAAGUCGGGCUUAGUGAUCCGGUGGUUCCGUAUGGAAGGGCCAUCGCUCAACGGAUAAAAGCUACCCUGG
rnacentral:rRNA from 1 species